AUACUUAGGGUGCAAGCGUUAAUCGGAAUUACUGGGCGUAAAGCGCUCGUAGGCGGCUUGUAAAGUCGGAUGUGAAAUCCCCGGGCUCAACCUGGGAACUGCAUUCGAUACUGGCAGGCUAGAGUAUAGUAGAGGCAAGUGGAAUUUCGGGUGUAGCGGUGAAAUGCGUAGAUAUCCGAAGGAACAUCAGUGGCGAAGGCGACUUGCUGGACUAAUACUGACGCUGAGGAGCGAAAGCGUGGGGAGCAAACAGGAUUAGAAACCCCAGUAGUCC
rnacentral:rRNA from 1 species